rnacentral:tRNA from 1 species
AGACAUUGUUUAGACAGUGCCUGUCUUGAAAACAGGUCAUUGAGGGUGCAAUUCCCUCAUGUCUU